rnacentral:lncRNA from 1 species
UGGAAUGAUUUUGUUUGAAUACAAAAUUUUCAGAGAAAGAUUGUUUCUCUUGAUUUGUAUCGCCCAAAAGAAGUUACAGCUCAAGACAGAGUGACAUGCUUGUGCACUGUCAGCCAAUUUCCUACUCAAGCUGCCCCAAUGAUAGCCAAUGAAAGCGUAUCCCAGUUUCCUAUCCAUUCUGCCAUUCUGAGAGACCAAUCAGCUGGAACUAACAGUAGCUCUAUAGGAGCAGCUGAACGAAUAAGUUCUACUAAAAGAAGGCGCAAGUUAUUUGACGAAGCCAUACAAAAGCGUUCAGUUUUUGUUGGAAACAGUUCCACUCAAUCUGACUGCAAUUUGAAUUCCACAAAACAAACUACAUCAAAAUCUUCUGUAGUAACUUCACACGUUCCUGAUGUCGCUUCCGCAAUCGAGGACUUGUUGGAGCAGACAACUAAGGUAAAAUCUGGUUUGAGCUUCAAUUCCAUUACUUCAUUCCAUUUUUAUUUUUAUUUUUUCCUUCAAAUCCUUUUGUUUUCCAUUCUUUUUAAGAUUCAAGAUCAGAAGUCACCUGGAAAGACUGGCUGCGACAAAAGUGUAUCCUUCUAUUAGGUUUAAACUAACUAGUGGACAUGGCCAUUCUUAGCUCUUACAUCCAAAGCAGUUAGUCGUACGAGGACAAUUUCUUUUUCUUUGUCUGUUUUACUGAGUCAAAAGCAGCCUUUAGGUUUCAUUAUUACAUUCUGGUGGAGCGAGAGAAAGAACAGAAUCGUCAAAGGGUGUGAGAGUCCUUAUUGCGAUGUUUGAUCCCUUACUGAAUUCUUUGUUUCUUCUGGGACAUUUGUUUUGUUAUUAUUUGCUAGACCUUAUCUCUUUAUUGGAGCCUUUUUUGCACUUUGGUUCUUUUUGUGGGCUUUCUUUUUUAUGUCCGUUUAUUCUUUCAUUUUUUCUAAAAAUGAAAGUUAAGUUUUUUUUUUAAAAAAGAAAAAGUUAUUAAAUGCAUCUGCAUUUAAAUAGUAUCUAGUGAUAGACUUUAGUAUCUUAUCGUUGCGUUCCCACUCCACCUAAUCUAUUAUUACAUGCAUCUGUGUGCUUGUGUUCUAAUUCCUUCUAAACUAUUUUUACGGGAUUUUCAUAGCCAUUGUCUUUGAAGAACUCCCCCUUUUCCUUCCCCAGAAGAAAGUUCACUCACAGUAUGUUCAUUCAGCUGUUGUGAUUAGUUUGUAGAAUUGAGAGGAGCAUUGCCCAUGGUUUAUCUUUUUUUGGUAUUUUCAAUUCAUUUUUAAGACAAAUGUUGAUGUUUUAUUUUUGGUGUAGCUGACUUACUUUGCCAUGGACUAUAAGAGCUAAUUGUUCAAACACGUGAAUUUAGGUUCAUCAUCAAAAACCACCGUAGCCGAUCGUGUUGUAAUUUCUAGCCAACACCCAUCUUUGUUGGUAAAAUUGUACUUUCUAGUUUCCUUUGCCCUUAUCUGUAAAGUCUAUAUGAUUGCUUUUAGGACCUGCUAUAUUGAAGAACAUCUUAUCCAUCCAAUAUGUAAAGAAAUGGAUAUUUUGUUACCGGGAUCCAGAAUGGGCUGAUGUGAAGCUCGCUCAGGCUAAGUAUCUUUUAUCACGCCUAGCUCGAUUCAAAUCUUUAGUUGCUGAAAAGUUUGAAUGCACACCCUCAGUACUUUUGGCUGGCGAUUUCAAUUCAACCCCAGGAGAUAAGGUUUGUAUUCUAUCUCGAUUUAUCAUUUGCAUUGAAUUUCCUCUUUCUGAAGAUAUGGUAUAUAGCUAUUUCAUUGUUAUUAUCAUGUCUAAAUUACAAGUUUAGUCCCUUGAACUUUGUGUCUCCUUGAUUGCUUAACUUUCCAAAAGUAUCUAAAAGAUCUGCAUGCUUUCAAUUUUGUGUAACCAAGUCUCAAAAUUUUAAAUUCAUGCAUUUAAUAGGUUCCAUUGAAGUUGAGAAUCAUUGUAAACCUAGAUCUUUCUUUUUUUUCUUUGCUAUGGUUAAAUUAUAUGUUAAUGUUUUGUUCUGUUACAAUUUUGUUCCUAUCAAUAUUGAUUAGUAUUAAAGUUAGUAUAUCUAUUUUGGACGUUGUUAGUUCUUGUACAUUUAUAUGUCGUACUAUCAGUACAUCUUAAAUUUAGUUCAUCUGGUUUCAACAAAUCAUUAACAACAUUUGAAGACAUUAUUUAUCAAAUUGGUUAAAGUAAUUUUUUAAAACAAUAAAGUAAUAGUAAUAACUAAGUUAAGAUUUAUAAAAAAUAUAGAAUUAAGAUGGUACAAAAUAUUUUCCUCCUCAUUCUGCUUCAUGAGGAGAAAGGUCAUCUUUUUUAUCGCUUUCAUGCUUCCUGGCUUGUGGGUUUUGGUUUUGAAGACUUUUUGUAAUUACUCUAUAGGUGUUAAUUUGAUAGUUGGAGUGCGUUCCCAUAGGUUAUUUUUUCCCUUCCUUUUCCUUUUUGUAAUUACUCCAUGGUAGUACUUGGAUCUCAUUCUCAUCACAACUUCCCAAAACCAUCUAGGACUGUUGCAUAAUUAAUGGUCCAAUGUCUGAUUAAAAUUUUAAACCACCAAAAUCAUGUGAAUUGAACUAUGAGAAUUGUUGAGAAGGAUUGAAUUUUAUGUUUAUUUGAAACUCAGCAUCUAAUGGACCGGCCAUUUGAAAUGAUUUUUUUAAAUGCUUAUAAAUGCUGUUUUCUUCACUUGUAGAGACUAUAAUUUAAACACAUGAGAGAAUGUUUAGGGCAAGGAGUUGAUAAUUCGUUAUAUAGUCUUAGGUUAUUAUAGUUUGUGCUUGAGGUGUGAAUUAUUUUAGUUUUGGUAAUAAUAUUAUGUGAUAGAAGGUAAAACAGUAAAAACGGUAGCAAAUUAGGUUUCAAAAUAGUAUUGAUGAUAGGUAAUUGGGGAUUUAUAGUCUUACUAUAGUCAGUGCCUCGAACAUUUUCGUAGAAAGUCAAUUCAAAUAUCCCUAAAUAUAGGUUCUUUUUUGGUUAUUAUCUCUUUGGACAUCCAAAAUCACAAGCUUAUAAACAAAAAAUUCUAGCAAAUAAUAAAGAAGUAGAACUCAUUACUAGCCAGCAAAUCAUACUUCUUACAAACAACGUUAAAAACAAAAGGAAAAAGGCUCUUCCUUUUUCCUUUGGUUUAAAAAAAAGUUUAAAAAGGGACCUCAAAUAUUCUUCUAGGCCUAGACAUGCAAAUAAGUUGGUUCAAUUACAAACACACUUACUACUUUCUAGUAGUAAAAUCACUCAUUCUUGAGCCUUUAUGUCCUAUGCAAUUGUCAUAUUAUGUCCUAUGCAAUAGGUCAUAUUAUUGUCAUUCAACAAGGGCUUUAAUUUUGAUCAGUGGGGAAUUUGUUUUUUUGUCCUUAUCUUUAAAUGAUGAUCACUUUAUUAUACGGAUCCAAUUGAUAAGUUAAAUAGUGAAUUUGAUAAGUAGAAUUCUGUCACAAUUAGUGUUAAGUAAAGUUAAUAUAGGAAGAGUCUUUCAUUUGACACAUCACAAUUAGUGUUAAGUAAAGUUAAUAUAAGAAGAGUCUUUCAUUUGACACAUCAUAUUUGAUGUGUGUAUAUAAUAUAGAUAUGCACGUACAAUUUUUUUUUUAGUUCACAUGGGUUGAGAUUUGAAACUCCAACAACCUUUUGAUAUAGAAUAUAUGAUCAAGUUGUGGUAGGUACACAUUGUGUUAUACACUUAUGUAUGUAAUAUACUGAAGAUGGGACCGUUGGGCAUAUAUGACGGCUUUAGUGAAACACAAACGGAGUCUCAGGUGUGUGCCCAUCUUUCUUUUUGCCAACUAUAACUCUUAUCAAUUAUAGUAAUUUUUUUAAAAUUUGCCAUCAUUUUUGACAACUUGAUUACAAGAGGACUAAAGAACGAACUACAACUCAUAAGAUUUUUUAUGGAGUAGGAAUUAGGGUAUUAUGGACAAAUUCUUAAUAUAUUAGGAUUAGGAUUAGGAUUAGGAUUAGUUUCUUAUAUUAAUUAGAAUUAGGAUUAGUUUGAUUUUAAUAGAGUACUUGUCUUCUUGUAUUCACAAAUUUAAAUAUUAAUAAAAUUAAGUCAUUUGGUCUACACCAUAAAAAAUUGUCAUCGAUGGAAAAUUGGAAAACUUUUCGUGAUGCUGAUCACAAGAGGGAGCUUUGUGAGUUGUUCUCAUUGCUAAACAACACAAAUCUAACUGGGAGAACCCUUAAAAAUUUUUUUUAAAAAAAAAAAUUCAAAUUAAUUUGAUUGAAAACGUUGUUAAAACAAGCAUUGAAGAUUGUCAAUUGCAAUAAGAAAGCAUAGAUUGCAAAGAGUACGACAAGGCUUGGGCGGGGAUUCAACAGGUAUGCCUCUCCUAUAGUACUUUUUUAACAUUUUCAUCUCUGGCAGACUUGCAUAUGAAAAUGCCGAAACGUCACACCCAAGCAUAUCGACUUGAAAUUCAAAGCAACUACCUAAACUACGUACAAGACAUAAAGACAAGAUAAAUUGGGGCUAAUCUGAGCAUAUGGCCAUAGGUAAACACACCUUGGACAAGUAUGUCUGUAACUUGAGGACACAUUCAGGCUUGUCCCUAAGAAAGUGAAUAACUCUGUCCAAAAGGCGCCAAUGAACCGUCCAUCUCGAUCACUCACAAUGCUUGUCGGUACACCCCACAGCUUCAUAAUAUGUCUAAAGAAUAAUUGAGCUGUUAACUCCGCCGAACACUGCUUCGUAGUGGGAACAAAAGUGACAUAUUUCGAGAAUCAAUCUAUAAUGACUAAUAUAGUCUCAUAGUCGCCUACUUUUGGAAGAUGUGUGAUGAAGUCUAUAGAAACACUCUCCCACGGUCUCGUUGGCACAGGCAGAGGUUCGAGAAGCCCAGCAACCUUUGCCUUCUCGACUUUGUCCUGUUGACAGACAAGACACAUCUUCGUGUAUUGCAUGAUAUCGUCUCUCAUACGGGGCCAAAAGUAUCCAUACUUCAGCAAGACAUAUGUCCUCUGUCAUCCGGGGUGGCCAGCCCACAGAGUGUCCUGACACUCGUGUAGCAACUUCUUUCUCAGGUCUCCUCCCCUAGGGACAUACAACCGUCUCCCCUUCGUCACUAACAACCCAUCUUCAACCCAAAACUGCCUUGUUUUACCUGCCUCAGCUAAACUCAUGACACUCUGAGCCGCAGAAUGCUUCUGCAAGAACUCCCUCAAGAAAUCGCGCAUAGGACCAUUAAUCUUGCUUGCGUAGAGAUGUGCUAACAUGCACAAAGCAACGUGUUCACCUCUUCGACUAAGCGCAUCAGCGGCCUGAUUGCUCACCCCUUUCUUGUGUUCAAACUCAAAAUCAAACUCAGUUAGGAAUUCCUGCCAUCUAGCUUGUUUUGAAGUCAACUUCGGUUGCGUAAAGAAGUGACAAGUAGCACUAUUGUCCGUCUUCGCAACAAAAAGUUGACCCCAAUAAGUACUGUCUCCAGGCCCUUAAGCAAUGUACUACGACAAGCAUUUCUUUCUCGGACACGGUGUACCUCCUCUCCGUGUCAUUCAACUUUCGACUCUCAUAAGCGAUGGGGUCUCCAUUCUGCAGGAGUACACCACCCAAUGCGUAAUCAGACGCAUCGGUCUCUACUUCAAAUGGUUGGGUCACAUCUGCGAUCCCAAGAAUUGGCCCCUUGACCAUAGCUUGCUUCAGUUCAUCGAAGGCGACUUGACAUUCCAGUGUCCAAUUCCACUUGUUGUCCUUCUUCAGCAAGUCAGUCAACGGGCUUACUCUUUUAGAGAAUCCUUCCACGAAUCACCUGUAAUAAUUGGCUAACCCGAGGAAGGAGCGCAAGUCGGUGACUGACCUUGGUACUUCCCAAUCACGAAUCGCAAUGAUCUUUCCUUCUUCCAUACUGAUUCGACCACACUCAAUCACAUGACCCAAAAAAUUGAUCCGCUCUUGAGCAAAGGAACACAUUUCCCUCUUGACAUAUAGUUGGUUCUCCUUUAGUUGGUUCUCCUUUAGUUGGUUCUCCUUCAACUUCUGAAAAACCCUUUUGAGGUGGUCCUUGUGUUCUUCUAGCGUGGAGCUAUAAACCACUAUAUCGUCCAGAUAGACCACCACAAACUUGUCAAGGUAUUCAUGGAAGACCUGGUUCAUUAGCGUACAGAACGUUGCAGGUGCAUUGGUAAGAGCAAAUGACAUGACAAGGAACUCGAACGCCCCAUACCUCGUAACGCAGGUGGUUUUGGGCUCAUCCCCUUCGACAAUUCUUACUUGAUAAUAGCCCGAUCGCAAGUCUAGCUUCGAGAAAUACUUUGCUCUAUGAAGGCGAUCAAACAGGUCUUGAUUAUUGGUAACAGAUAUCUGUUGCAGACCAUGAUCUUGUUUAGGGCGCGGUAGUCGAUGCACAACCGCAUACUUCCAUCCUUCUUCUUCUGGAAAAAGACUGGAGCUCAAUAUGGAGCUUUUGGAGGCCUCACAAAUCCUGCGUUCAGCAGUUUACCCAGUUGUUUCCGAAGUUCGGCCAACUCCGGCGGUGCCAUACGAUAAGCAUCCUUCGCAGGCGGUUUUGCCCCUGGCAGCAGUUCGAUCUCAUGGUCGAUCAUUCUCCGUGGAGGCAAUGAUUUCGGCAGGCUGUCUGGCAUCACAUCCUUGUACUUCUCUAAGACACUUAGGAUGUCUUUGGGGACUGUUUCCCUUGGGCUUUCGAACGACUCCAGUGGGAUAGCCAUGAAGGUUGGUUCGUCACGAGCAAGGCCUUUCUUCAACUGCGUAGCCGAGAUCAUCUUUAUCCCAUCAGGCUGACGAAUCUCCGUUUGAACAACAGUAGGCGUUGUUCCAGUAAUCACUAAACAUUUGGCUAGCGGCAUUGGUAUGACUUGAUGCUCCAGUAGAAACUUCAUACCCAGUACCACAUCCAAGUCAUCCAUCUUUGCAACCACCAAAUCUAUGGGACCGCUCCACUCUUCCAUCCUUAUGGUCGUUCGUUUUACCAACCCGACGAUAGGUAGGGCAGCUGAGUUCACGUCCUUCAUUUUUCCUGCGUCCUUCUCCCGACGGAGAUUCAGCCGUCUAGCUUCGGCUUCUACAAUGAAGUUAUGGGUGGCACCAGAAUCCACCAUAGUGCUCUUGGGUGGCUUUUGGUUGACCCAACAGUCUACGUACAUGAGACCAUUCUACGUACAUUAGGGCCCCCAUCCGAGGAUUCUCGCCCUCUUCUAUCUGUCCAACGUCUCCUUCAGUCUGACUCAAUCUAUCAUCUGAGUCCGAGGCCAGGGUGGCUUGAAAAGCGUUGAAGUCGAUACGGUUGGGGCACUCUCUGGCAAGAUGAGGUCCUUUACAUAUGAAACAACUGAUGGAACGACUGGUGUUGUUUUGAUUGUUUGGUCCUCGCCAGUUGUUUCCUGUAUUCGCUUGGAAGGGCUUGCGAUCUCCACCUUGUCGCUUGUCUCCCCUACAGUCUUCGGGGAAUUUGGGCGGUUGUUUCUGUUUCCUCUAGAGGAGGAAGCUUGAUGUCGUCUUGCAUCCUAAGAUUCACUAGAUAAGUCAAACAACCGUUCAGCCACUGCGUAUGUCGACGUGAGGUAUUGGAUUCGUUGCUCAUACAACUUGGUCCUAGCCCACGGCUUCAAUUCACGUAGUCCCGAAUGUUCCCCGUGUGCUUCAAUUCACGCAGCUUCCGUCGGGCCAGAACUUGACAUUCUCAAGAAAAAAAUUGCGAACGGAGUUCUUCUUUUAGGGCAUCCCACGUGUCGAUUGUGCAACGCCCUUCUUGAAUGUCCAUGUAUCGGGACCUCCACCAUAACUUCGCAUCUUCUGACAGAUGCGUGGUUGCCAGUGUCACCUUGGCCUCUUAAGUAAUUGUGUUCGUGGAUUUGAAAUACUGCUCGACAUCAAAGAUGAAGUUUUCCAACGCCUUGGCAUCUCUCGCCCCAUAGAAGGGCUUGGGCUCAGGAAUCUUGAUUCUGCCCGCAGGAAUGGCUCCUCCAGCUGGAGCCUGGUUUGCUAGUGCUCGCAUAGUAAGGUUCACCCUUGUGUUUACCUCUGCGAGCUCAUUCCUCACGACAUCGAGGGUUGCUCGAAAAUCUUCCGUCAUGUUGUUGAUCAUCUUCAACAUGUUCUUUUGGGAGUUAUCAAGCUCCAUAACUCGUUCUUCCAUCUCGGCAACAUAGCCCGAUUAACUGUCCCCACGCUCGUAGGUGACAUUUCCCGUUCUCAUAACUCGGGACUUUAGAGCGUCGACUCUAGUCAAUAACUCUUGGAUGGGUAGUCCGUCAAGGCGACCGAACACGACUUCAAUGCCAUCAGCUUUCUUGGCAAUAUCCUCAAGCCGCUAUUCCAAGAACCGGAUGGAAUCAGGAACUUCCACCAGGUAGAGCAUCUGCUCUUCGAUUCUCAUAAGUCGCUCAUUAUGGGUCUUGCUAGACUGUUUCGCCACCGACAUCUUUCUGUCUCGCACUGUCAACUGCCAACUUGGCUCUGAUACCAGUUGUCACAAUUGUAACCCUUCAAACACGAUGUGAACGAUUGUGCGACACUUGUUCGAACUCGACGAACAAGUCAGCCGAUCAAAAUCCGCAAAUCGCGGACAACUUUAACACACGCUUCAACCUUCCCUCACGUUCUUGGAAAAAUAUUUUUAGAAAACGUAAAAGAUGAUUAAUUUGAUUGAAAACGUUGUUAAAACAAGCAUUGAAGACUGUCAAUUCUUAGUUCUGUCCCGAAACAUCCAAAAAAGGGUCGAUGUUAUGGCCUAGAAAGAAACCACCCAGCUUAGAACAAUGUCAGAGGUCCUGAAAGUUCACAUCUACCUGUCGGAUGGCCACAUUCCGAGUAAUAUAAAGUUUCUUGCCCACAAAAGCCGAACGGCGAUGGCCCGACCUCGGUUUUUUAGUUUCGUCCGAAACGUUGAAAAAAGGGUCGAUGUUAUGGCCUAGAAAGAAACCACCCAGCUUAGAACAAUGUCAAAGGUCCCGAAAGUUCACAUCUAACUGCUGGGUGGCCCCAUUCCGAGGAAUAUCAAUAUUUCUUGCCGAAAAAAAUCAAACGACGAUGUCCAGACUUGAUUUUUUAGUUCCGUCCGAAACGUUGAAAAACUAAAAUAUUAAAAUAUUGCUAUGAAUCAUAUAUUUACUCAUGGUUUUUUUUUCUUUUUGUUUUUAUUUAAGUCUUGAGUGUCUAAGAAUUAUUUGAUAUGGUACGAGUCUUCAAAAGUCACAUCCUUUUCAUUUUCUCUUUUAUAGGAUGAGUCAUCAAGACUCAUCUUUCUACACUAGAUCUCUAAUAAGUUCUAAAACAAUUUUUUCUGAGACGACUUUUGCAGGUUGAAUGGUGUUGUUUAAAACCAAUUUGAAUUGUUGAAGUCCCUUAACUUCCUAAGAUGUCUCUCCAUAUCUUGUCUAGUUUUGGUCCUCUAUUCUUUCUCGAUUACUGUGGUCGGGUCAUCUCGUUCACUCUAGAUUGCAUUGAGAGUAUAGGGGAUUAAGCAAUAAACAAAGCAUAAAAUGCUCAUAAAAUGCUAAUGAAAUCUGGUAGAUGAGAAACGGAUAUCGAAUGGAUGAUCUUGAAAGAGUUUCCAUUGUCCCAAACUACGAGCAAGUCGCUUCUCCUGUCCCUAUCUCUUACUUCUGUUACUGUGACUGUGUUAGAGCAAAAGGAAGUAGUUUAAACCCUUUUAACAGACUAGAAGCAGCUUGAAAUCUUCAAUUCGACUUGAAGUUUAGAACUUCACUUAUUACUGAAACAGUGCAAAAGCCAAGAAAAAAAAGUCUUACCAGGACUUUUGCCCUAGUGAUUGACUUGGUUUUUGAAUCAAUUACAUAUAUUUUCUCAAAAUCUAGGAUAAAUUCAGGGUCCCACAGCCUUCGAUUUUUGAAGUGCUUCGUCAAGAAAACCUGCAAAAGAUAAAUGAAUUGUUUGCACAUUCUUAUAUCUUUUGUCCACAUUCCCAUCCUGAAGAGAAGACCAUCACAUGCAUAAUAUUCUUAAAUUUCAAACGUCGUUGAGUCAAUGAACGUCACUUUGUAUAACUAUGCUAGCUACUUCUAUUCUAACGUAUCGCGGCGAAACCUAUACUCGGAUUUACAAAGAAAUGGAAGAGUCCAUUAAAUUAUCAUCACUUUCACUAGAAAUAGAAAAAUAGAGUGAACAAUCAUCAAAUUCUUAAGUCCAACCUUACCUUAAGAACCUCCUUUUCAGACUUGUAUAAUGGAUCUCUAGGUGCAUCAAUAGGUGGUUCUAUGACAUUGUAGCAUCCAUAAUCACUCUAAGCACAUCUAAUAUACUGCAGUUGUGAAGAAAAGUAUGAUCAUACACUACUGAAAUUCCUUAAAAUCUUAUUUUGGUCCUUGAACUAUGAUGUUUGUUCCAUAUUGUUCUAUUAACUUUUAAUUAUUGUGUUUAAGUCCCUUAACCUUCAAUAAGUCAGUUUUAGUCUCAGAUUUCUUCAUCAAAUUAACUGUUAACUUACCAACCGUUCUUCCACAAAAACUUAAAUGACCGUCUGUAAACAUUUGCCGACUGACUAAAUGAACAUGCUAAAUUGAAAUCUGUUUAUAGAAAAUGAUUGAAACUUUUCACAAAGGAGAUGAACAGAGACUAGUGCUUCAACAUACAAAAGGAUACAACAAAAACAUAGCAUAAUGUAAACAAUUAACCACAGAGGAUUAAAGUAAAUGUGGUAAGACUGAAGUAAUAAGACUUCAAAAAGUAAAUGAAAACUUAGAGAGGCGUGAUAAAUGCCGGCCAAUUGCACUAGUUAUUGUUAAUGUAAAGUUAAUGAAAAUGGCUAAACUAACAGGUUAAGUUUCUGUUCAUUUGUUAGUUAAAAACUAAUGAAAAUGGUUGAAACGGGUUUUUAAUCUAGAGUUCAAGACUAAAACAUAAUAAUUUACACCAUUUUAUCAUGUAUAUAAAUGCAAAGAAAGAACAAUAAUACCUUUUGAGGCAUUGGAGGGAGCAAGAACUUUGGGGACGACAUAAACAUCAGUAUCCGGAGGAGUAACAUACAUCUACAACCAAGAAACACAUCAACGAAAACUUUUUUUAACUAUCAAAUGAAUCUGAUAAAGCCAAGUUUGAAAUGAAACUAAGCAAAUUUUGCCACUAACCUCUCUAAAAUCAUAAACAUCGCUGUUGGAAUCCGACGACUUCCUAAUGAAGAAAUGACAGUGCAUAAAACUAAUCUUAUGAAAUUCCUCCUCAUUUAUCCUAUAAUCCACAAUCAUCUCCGAAUCCCAUCCCUGUGUGAACACGAAGCUUUUGCUCUGCACAAUCGAGAUAUUCUCAUCGCCAACGUCGUCGGAACCCGCUGCUGCAGCUAUCGCGGCGACUAGGGGAUCGUACUCGAUGUCGAAAUCUUUGUUGCUGUUGAAUUCCUCCAUUUCCUCAUCGUCCAUGUCGUAGUCAUCGGGACCACCACUAUCACCGUUGCCAUCGCCGGAGAAGACUCGACAAGGGUUUCUUCUAGGGAGGAAGAGAGGAGAUGCAGAUGGAGUGGAUUUCCGAUAGGGCAGGCUUGGGAGGUGGGGAAGAGAGGUUGCGGAGGAGAUGGAGGAGACUCAAAGAUGGUUGAUUGGGGGGCGGCAACGACGAGGAGAGGAGGAAGACAGUGGAGUUCAUGAGGACGCAAACUCUGUUAAGCGGGCACCGAAGAAUUCGAACGCUCUUGUGUUGAGUUUGUUGAUGGACACUGUCAGGUGGAUAAUGUUAAAAAUAAUUAAAAUGAAUAUUUUUAAAAACAUUCAAAAAAAUCGUUAAUAUUAUGAAAAUGGUCAAAUACUGUCAGUUUUGGUCUACCAUUUAAAAAAUAGCAUACAUUUUUUUUAUAUUCGUCUGUUUUUCUCACAGAGACUGCUUUUUUCACAGCUUUAGCCGAAUUCAAUUAUGAGAUUUCUUAUUUUGUAUUUAAAAUUUAAAAUAAAUGCUAUUAUACAAUUACCAAAAUAUUUUCCAGCAAACAAUUUCAUAUAGUUGUGAAAAUAGGAACUCAUUUAGGUUAAGUUUGAACUUCAUUACUCUCAAAAUCUCUUAGAUUUAUUGAUUUUUGUGUGGGCAAAAUUGUUCUGUGUAUCCUCAAGCAUUUAAGUCUUUACAUGUAUUCUGCCUUGAACAAUUUGAUAGUUUAGAGCUUUUUUAAAGUUUUGUUAUAGGUUUUUUUUUUUUUUUUUGUGAAAUAUGAGGUGGCUGGAAUAUAAGUAGUUGGAUGUGUGCAUAUCUCAUUUUUAAAUUUUUUCUGGUGGUGAUCUGAUGAAUGUCAUAAAUUUCAUCAACCUAGGCUCAUUUAGAUUAGGAAUCUCGCCUGAGAUUGUUGAAAUUGGACUGAGAUUUGUUGAAUGAGUCUUGAGAUUGUUCUACGUUUGUGUUCAUAUGCAUUAUGUGUUGGUUAUCGGGCUAGAUUUCACCCGAGAUUAACCAAGAUACAUCAUAGGAUGCAUAUAAAACACUAAUAUCGUGACAUCACAUGUAAAUAACCCAAGUACAUAGUGAAUUUAUGUUGUUCUUGACCGAGAUUGGAUCAAGAUUCCCUUGAGUUCUAAGACAAAGUACUUAUUUUCUUAUGUUACCUGUGUUCUCUGUUUGGUAAAUGCCUCUUGUCACUAAAAUUUGCAAUUCAAACAUUUUCCUUCCAAAAUUGACAUGUUCUCACUCGGCGAAAACUAUCUCCAAUAUUAAAAACAAGUUAACUCCUAGGCAAUUGUAUAUGUUUAGGAAAACUCCAUUCAAUCAUUUCUUGGACAUUAGGUUGAUGAUCAGUGGAUCUUUGUGUCAUUACAUCUUGUUAAGAGAGUUUGAGGAUGAUCGAUGUGACAUUAUCAAUUUUAAAUUUCUCAGAAGGUGUCUUUCAGACAAGAAGAUUUUGGCAUUAUUACGAGGUUGAGGUUGAGGUAUAGGUGAAGACAUGUUGUUGAGUUUGAACAGGAUAAAAGCUCUUAGAUUGAGACGCUUAUAUUUGGUUGGUAGGGCAAACAUGAAUGGGUCUAAAUUGGGUAAAGAUUACCAAAACCUUCAAUUUGAGAGUUACAAGCCUACGGUAUGAACCAUUUUUGUUCUUCUAAAGUUAUUUUUGUCACGAAUGAAUUAACCAUUUCUGUUCAAAUACCUAUAGUGACAAUAUUUUUUAUAUUUUUUAAGUUAUAUUUUCGAAACAAGAGUAUUUUAUGAUACAAAACAUUAAAGUUUUUCAUCUAAAUGCAACUGUAAGGGGCCGUUUGGGGAAAGAAAUGAAUAAGGGGGAAAAGAAUAAGGAAAAUGGGGGAUUAAGUGGAGGAAAGGAUUAUUAUAAUCCUUGUUUGAGGGAAGGAUUAUGAGGAUUAUUUAUAAUCUUUGUUUCGGAAAGGAUUAAGUGGAAUGAUUGUGAGAGAUUAUUUAUAAUCUGGGAGAAGAUUAUGUCAGAAGGAUUAAAACCAAAAUUGUAUUUUUUUUAUUAUUAUUUAUACAUUAACCUGAAUAUGAGAUUAAAUGUAGAAUUGUUUUUUUUCCUGUGAAUGAAAUUCUUUGUUUUUUUCGUGAACCCUAUACAAAAUGAAAAAUGUGCUAAUAUAUGUUGCAAACUUUGUUGAUACCGUUAAAGCCUCAACAAAAAAUUGUAUUCAAAUUAAUUUUUUUAGUUAACCGUAACCCAAGCGUUCACAAAAAAACACGAAUUGAUUUUUUUUUUGUUAAUUUUGUAUAAAUAUUUUUUUUACUACAAUAUCCCUAAUACACUUUCAAAAUUGAAUUAGAUGUUUUCCAUGUGUACGAUAUGCUUAUGGAAUGAUUUCCAUAAACCAAAUACAAAAUAAAAUAUGUAUUAAUUUUUUUUGCGUUUGUCUAAACUUAUUUAUUUUUUUCGUACGGUUUUCAAGAAACGACGAAUAUUUAUAUUAAAAUAAUGUUUAUAUUUCAUUUCAACUGUAACCUCAACACACAACACAUAUGUAUUAAUUAUAAAGUUGAUUUUGUAAAAAACAAAUUUGGACCAUACGCGCAAUACACAAUACAAACAAAUUGUAUUAUUUUUUUCUAUUUGUGUAAACUAUGUUUCUCAAGUUAUACCGUAAAUAGAAGGCAAAAAAAAAAAAAAAAUCUAAGUUUGUAUCGUCAAUCAUAUAGAAUAAAAAAUUGGAUUACGUUGGUUUUAUUUUAUUUUUUUCCAUUUUGAAGAUUUCUUUUUUCAUAUAUUAAUUUUUUUUCUCCAUGAGAACGAUGAGCAACAUAAUAGCGGUUAAAGCCAACGACUAUUUUUUUGAAUUGCAAUUAACGAAAAACAUAACGGGCUAAUGCAAACUACAUGCAAGAGCUUACCUAUCUCACCACUUGGCAUUCUUAGUGGGGUAAGUGUCCUGCAUGCAAUAAGCCACUUGCAUAUCACAUGCAAGUGAUAAGCUUACCAAAUCUUAACAAAUGUUAUUAUUUAAAUUAGUCUAAGGACAAUAUGGUAAUUCAACAUUUAAAUCAAAUUCAAAGUUCGAGUUUUUCAAGCCCAAAGUCAACAUUUUGACUUUUAACCAUUUUGUCCAUCUUGACUAAUUUCAACCUUCCAAGCAUCAAUUCGUAUAAAUUUCUUCAAAAUUUAAAUCACAUUUGAAUAUAAAGUCAUCCAAAGUUUGAUUUUUCAAAGUCAAAAGUCAACAUUUUGACUUCUUACUUCUUUACCAUUUUCAUCAAUUUUGAGCUUCCAAAUAUGAAUUCAUAUUCAUAUUUAAAUUACAUUUAAACAUGAAGCUUUAUCUUAAAUUAUAAUCGAUGACUAUAUUCUAAUUCUAACAAUUCGAAUUAUUCCAUCAUAAUGUUCUAAGUUGAUUCCUUAUGAGCUAGUGGGGGAACCUAAUGGAUCUAUAGAUCAAGGGUUCUAACGAUCUGAGAUUAACUGACUAAACUGUUUAGAUCGAGUUAAUCAACCUUCGUUAACUAAUGAGUCAUUCCACUAAAGUCCCGUAGUUGCACUCCCCUCACUAUAGAUAUAUUUGUGUCCAUGUGAUAUGACAUGAUAAGUAAGUUAAUCUUUCACAAGUUGUUCAUGAUCUCGACUGGGUCAAAGCACUGUUUUACCCCGACAUUAUAUCUUUUUUCUUUAAGUCCCACUGAUCCACUAUUAAAUAAUUGGUUUUAGGUCCAACCUAUAAACUGAAUCCCUCUCGGGCCAAUGAAAGGGUGGGGCCCUUGUUCAAGACUUGGAUUCAAUCAUUAAGGGAACAACCUAUCUACUAACCCUAGAGUGGUAGGAGUGAAUUCCGUCUUGCACCCUAUGUCCCUAGCUAUCCACCCGAUCUUACCCCUGAAAUGGGAGGCUUAUUGAGCCAACGCCAUUGAGCUCCCUCACUUAUGCAGAUCUAUCAAUAAUUUCACGUGAACAGAAGUUCAUAGUUAGUUCAUUUUUAAAUUAAGUUACAUUGGAUAUCUAUAAACGAAAUAGUCAGUUUUACAAAGUUAACGGUGUUAUAACUUAAAAGCGACUAUCUCAUGGUUCCAGUCUUAUGUCAACUCUUUACAUAGAAUGCCCCCACUUCCAUGUCUCUUACCCUAUUUUAGCGACUUACCCUAUUUUAGCGACUUCUAUAGGUCGAGCUAUUCAAACCUCUCUUGAAUUCUUGUAAACAAAGGGAUCAGUCAAGAAUCCAAAAUAGUUAUUAACACACACCGUCGUAAAGAGAGAGAGAAAUUCCCUUAUUAUCAUAAUCCUUUUUUCGUGAUCGAUCAUCUCUCAAGAAUAUCUCUGUCUUAUGGCACCUCUCCUUUCCAACUAAAGAAAGUCAAAGAAGAGGAGUAGCAACUUCUUAGGGAUCUCAGUUCUGCAAAAGCUAGAGAAAGCCUAUGCAAAAUCAACCACAACAGCAAAAGAAUGUCCUUCAGCAGCAAGGUGAAAAGGAAUAUUGCAUCCUUCAUUGAUUUGCUUAAGGGGCUAGUUAAGGAGUCUCCUCAUUUAACCUCUCAUUCUCAAAGUUCGCCUCUCUUAUGCUUUUUGAUCGAUCUGAGAUGAGAACAACUGUGAUUAAGACAAUGAUUGCAUAAGGAAAGACAGACCCUAUCGUUAGAGAUAUUCCCUACUCAAUUUGGAUCCAAGGGAAAGCUUCUUCUUGAAAUAGUACUUUUGACUACUCACUUUCAGUGAUCGUAACCUAAUGGAUGGAAGAAUUUCGUACCUCCUCAAAGGAAAGAUUACAUUGGGGUCCGUCCCACUCUUUCAAGGCCUUUCUUCUCAGGCAUAAAGAUAGGGCUUUCUUUAGCACUAUUGUGAUUUACUACUACAGGGUAGUGUAGGCUACCGUCCUUAUGCUUUUUGUGGAUUUAGAAAGCACUUGAACAGUUUCCACAUUCGCUGUGAAAUGAGCUCCAACAAACUUUCCUUUCUUCCUUUGAGGCCUGAGACAGGUCAAUGAAUAAGGGCUACAAUUCUUAUAGUUCAUAAAGAAAUUCACUCUUUAGUCUAUUCCCAAUCCUAGUCCUUUGAGAUUCUUUAGGUUCUGUGUACUAGACGUCGUCGACCCUCUCAAACGUGGAAAAGACUCUUUCCUCACUCAUUGAGCUUGAAAAAGUAGCCCACGUGGCGGUAUUCAGUCUUCACCCCCACUCUGCGGUUGAGGCAUUUGUUCUCGAAGGAGAAGGAUAGUCGCUCAACAAAGUUUACGAACAAGAAGGCGCCAUAGGCGGGAACAAAGAAUAUUGCUCAAAGGUUUUAGCUUUAUUUCUAUGUGGGCCACUCUUUUUCCAUGGAGGCAAGGACCAUCUCAAACUACCUUAGAAGAGGCAGGAAUUAAGAGACAGUGUCUGCUCUCGUGGCGGCCUUAUCUCUUCUUAUGGCACUUCUACCAUUGGAGGUUUCAAUCCUUCUUCUUUUGAAAGAGAAAGAUGCCUUAUGCAUGCAUUGGCCUCUAGCAUAUUUCUUUAUUUAUUGGUCAUAUGUCAAUUUUUCUCCCUGGUUUUUCUUUCUAUUUGCCUUAUCAAAUAAGAAGCGCAACCCUCAACAAAGGCGACACCUUAAACAAGGGCUACUGCUCUCCCUCUACAUCCCUUUCCUUUCUUUAAUGGGGGAAAGAUUGUCAGAGAUCUUAUUCAAGAUCUAAACUCUGGAAAGGAGUGCCUCCUUUCCUUUCCCUUCGCCUUCAUAAGUCAGGCUAUGAAAAUAGAUUGUAAGUGAACCGCUUACCAUUCAGACUGAUCUAGGAGACGGGUCGAGGUGUGGAGUUUUCUUCUUUCUUGCUUUGAUAUGUCCCACGGUCUUUUGAGCUAGUCUACUUUCUCUCUGCGGUUAGCUUCAGAAACUACCCCACUGAGAGGUGGAGUAUAACCUUUCCGGGAGAUCGAUACCCUGAUCUCGCUCAAGUAAUAAGAAGAUAAAGUGCUCAAGACUAUGUAAGAAGAUAUGAAAAAAAAUUGAAUUUUGAAAGCUCUGAUCUUUCAUACUCUUAAUUAUAUCCACGAAGCGGUAGGCUGAGCACCUUGAUGUAUAGGCCUUAUGAAUAUGAGCGAUAGCUUCCGAUAUGGAAAGGGGAAAGCAGGACCCACUUGAGGGUCAAGAAAUAAGAAGAGAAGAUAGAGUAAAGUCGAGUCCUCUAAUUCUCAUCCAUUUCUCCAACUUCGUCUCCUCAACUGCGUAAACUGUAGGUCUCUUUCUUCUCCUCGUUCAUAAUGCACACCUCUUCCCUUCUCAUAAUAAUCUUUUGAAUAGUCAAGAUCAUCAUAAAAAGCCUUGUUAGUCUUGUCUCAACUUCUCCUACUCACUCGAGCCUAACUACUCUCCUUCUCUUUCUUUCAUACUAAGUUGAUAGUGAAAAGAGAGAAAAUUACUAGUUGGGACUUCGACCUUUAAUCAUAGAUCUCAUGAAAGAGAUAAGGCUACUUCUCUUUCUGCAACUGAAAGAAGAAGAAUCGCGACUGCCAAAAUCCCUCCCACGGGAUGAAAAUAAUACUUUUAUUUAUCCACAUUGAUAAAAGAAAGUUCAAUAUUCUUUUUUUAGUGGAAUAACACUCGUCCUCUUACAUACUCGUUCUUCCAGUCGUCUGAACCAAGAAUAUCCUUGUCUUAUGGAGCUUUGUCUCUGCACAAACAUUAUUUUUCAUAGUCGAAUAAAAUAUCAAAAGAGAAAGAGAGAAUCAUUUAUGAAGAAGAAAUCAUUCUCAAGCUCUUCUUUUUCUCUCUCUUCUCAAUGAAUCGAGUCUUCGAACCUGCGAAAGUGCUCAAGAUUAUUUAAGAUAGAAUAAUGAAAUAGUAGUUUCUCAAGCUCUUAUUAAAGACAUAAGUCGUUUAUUACCACAUUCCGAAAGAGAUUAUGAAAGAGAAAAGAUAAAUGAAUGAAAUAUUCCUAAUCCAUAAAUCUCAGGUGAAGGACUAAUCAAAUGAGUUCAAAGAGAAGAAGAGGUCAAUUGCAGAAAAGAAUGAACUUAUGAGCUGGAGAUGGAAGAGCGAAGAAGAUAGGAGGCCAAGCCAAGAGUCAUCAAGAAGCCGUCGGAUCCCAAAAAGAAAGGUCUAGAUGAAAAGGAAGAAAAGGAAAAGGCCGAGUAUUUUGUCCUAGUUAAGCCUAAGACCUAGGUGAAUGAAUCUUGAAGGGUGCCUGAUUUGCCUAUUAGGUAGUAGUAGUCUUGGUUUCAUUGUAUUCCCCAUAUCGAAAGGAAGUUCAGCCUAGGGUUAGGUGCUUUUUCCUUAUUUAGCCCAUGGAGCAGAGCAUAUGAGUCCUUUCAUGUAUCAGAGUUGCUACAGAAGAUCGACUGACUCGAUCCUCUGAUCCUACUCUACAUCACAGAGAAAUAAAGCAAAAAUCUUCUUUCCCACGCACCUCACGUCAGCUAAGGUUAUUCUUUCUUCCCAUAUAGUGGGCUGACUUUGCACCUAAAUGAUAGAACUAAGUCAUGCACAGCGGAAAAAGAAUCGAAUUUCUACCCUAAUUGCCACAAUUAACAUGUAACCAUAAACUAAUCAAAUUAGGGUUUUAAGAAAUAUUACCUUUGAAGCUUUCAAAAGGUUUGAUAUCUUCUUACCAAUUCUAACCGAGACCACCACUAGUACUCAACUGCUAUCCUCUAGACAAAGAACCGGGUUGUGGGACCCAACUUUGGUGUAGAAAGUAAUGGAGAUAAAAUGGGAUUGUAAGGUUUUUUUUUUUUUGUUGAGAUGAUGAAAAUGAUAAAAGAGGCAAAAGUUCUUCAACAUUUGAAAACCUCUAUUUAUAACCUAAUUACAUGCAAAAAUGCAUGCAAUUCAUUUGCCAAAUCUCAACCCCUAAUGUUCCACUAACAAUUAGUGGAACUUAGUGGGCUAGGUGUCUAUAUCUCAUAUAGCCACAUAUCCCACUAAGAGUUAGUGGGAUUAUCCAAUAAAUGUUGGAUUUUCCCACUAACUUAGUCCAAGGGUAAAAUGGUCAUUAGAUAUUUCUAGUCAAAAGUCAAACUUUGACUUUUCUUAGUCAAAAGUCAAUAUUUUGACUUUUUACCAUUUUGUCCGUCUUGACUAAUUCCAACCUCCCGAGCAUGAAUCCGCAUUCAUUUUUCCAAAAUUCAAAUCACAUUUGAAUAUAAGGCCGGUCAAAGUUUGACUUUUCAAAGUCCAAAGUCAACAUUUUGACUUUUUACUAUUUUUGACCAAUUCCAUCAAUUCCGAGCUUCUUAGUAUGAAUCCGCAUUCAUACUUAUAGUAUGUAAAACAUAAAAGCUCUAUUUCUAAUUAGAAGACCGACGACUAUAUCACUAUAUUUGUCGGUUUCCCUUUCUUCUCCCAAUUCGAACAAUUCGACUUAUUUCAUCACACUGUUCUAAGUUUAAUCCAUAUGAGCUAGCAGAGGAACCUAAUGGACUUAUAGAUCAUGGGCUCCAAUGAUUCAAGAUUAACUAGCUAAACUCUUUUAAACCGAGUUAAUCAACAUUCGUUAACUAACAGGUCAUUCCACUAAAGUCCCGUAGUUGCACUCCCCUCACUAUAGAUAUAUUUGUGUCCAUUUGAUAAAACCAUAAUCAGUAAGUUAAUCCUUCACAGGUUGCUCGUAACCUUGGCUGGGUCAAAAUACCGUUUUACCCCCAAGAUUACAUCUUGCUCCUUAAGUCCCACUAAUCCACUAUUGAACAAUUGGUUUAAGGUUCAACCUAUAAACUUAAUCCCUCUCGGGCCAAUGAGAGGGUGGGGCCCCUUGUUCAAGACUUGGAUUCAGUGCUUAAGAGAACAACCUAUCUACUAACCCUAAAGCGGGUAGGAGUGAAUUCCAUCUUGUACCCUAUGUUCCCAGCUAUCCACAUGAUCUUACCCCUGAAAUGGGAGGCUUAUUGGGCCAACGCUGAUGAGCUGCCCUCACCUAUGCAGAUCUAAGGAUAAUCUCGUGUGAACAGGAGUUCAUAGUUAACUCAGGAUUAAGACUAAGUUACCUAGGUCAUCAAUAAUUGAGAUAGUCAGUUUUAAACAGUAAACGGUGUUAUAACGUAAAAAUGACUAAUUCAUGGUUCAGUCUUAUGUAAACAUUUUACAUAGGAUGCCCCUACUUUCAUGUCUCUACAUGAACGAUUAGGAUCACCUCGUUUGUACUACAAAGUGGGCCGCAUCCAUAGUUUCUCUAAAUAAGGCGCCCAACCUUUAUUUCAUAUACUAUAGACUAUUUAGGCUAUAUACUCGAACUUGAUCCACGUUUAUGUUUACACAUAAAGUUCAAGUUUAUUCAAAAAAUAGCCUUGGAACUUGAUUUAUUGGAUUUAAGAUUAUAAUAUUUAAUUUCUCAAUAACAACUUUAUUGAACAGAAUAUGAUUUACAAACUACGAGUUUUAGGACAAAAAAUUCCAACACUAAAUCAGUCGAGAUAUUUUUACCUAUCUUUAAAGGCGAAGAAAUUGCAAUCCUCUUUAUUUAACUAACCUCCUCAAAAGAACUGGUCUCGUAAGAUGCCGAUGUUUAUGGACCUUUGUUCUUUGACCGCCUUGAUUUUAGCCUCUGAACCUCUUCAGAGGCUUAAAUAAUGAUGGAAGGACUUCUAAAUUCACAUGAGGAUCUUGACGGAUGAAAGUAGGGAAAUCGAAGUAUAUAUAUUUACAGACUAAGAGGUUCAAAGGCUAAAAUCAAGGGAAAUUGGGUCUUAUGGGGGAAUAAAAUUGCAUUUUUCCUUAUGGAAAGGAGGAAGAACACAAUAACUGUCUUUUCCCUUGAUUCCACUCAAGCACUCAAUCACCACAGAUCAUAUUAGAGGGUUCGAGAGCCACGGGCAAUUUCAGCCUACCCUUCCCUUGCUCAACUAUUCGUUUCAGAAAGUCUCUUUGUUAGGACUUGGGUGCGCCAGCAAGAGAAAAGCCUAAAAUCAAAGCUCUAGAUGAGUUGAACUUUCUUAUACGUUGAAAAAGGUUAAUGCACUCAAUCAAUAAUCUCUUAUUCUAUUUGAUUUUCUAAACGAAGAAAGCAUGAAAGAAAUUCAAAAUCAAGUAGAAGUAAAGAAGCAGAGCGGUUGCGAGACCAGUUGCAGGCUACGUGUUAAGGGUCGCAAUCUUAGUUGUCCUGGAAGUCGUCCAAGUGUCGGAUGCUCAAUCGGUAAGCUCGUUCAUGUCUGAUUUGUCGUCGACCUUUCUUCUUUCGCUAUUUACUGGGACUUUCUUCUCUGAGUUGAUUUUGUCCACUAAGUUUGGACCCCUUCUAAUUGGACUUUCGUUCUAACUUCUACUGAUCUAUAUGGAUAAAUCAGUCUCAUCCCCCCAUAAUUAAGUAGUGUCCACUAAAAAAGAGCAAAGCGAUAUGAAAUCUUUUUGUCAACGAUAAGGUUUCGUUUCUGGGUUUAGAGGCGGGGAAUACUUAAGAGGGUAAAAGAUCCCACUUUCUAGUAUUCCUCACAUGCUUUUCGUCUUCAAUUAAGGCCUUUGUUAUCAUCCAUGGUUAGAUCGGUGAAUGCGAGAAUAGGUGGUCUAUUUCUUUAUUUCUUUCCUUUUCAUCUAAUAAAGAACCUUUUUGGACCCUUGAAUUGAGUGAAAGGCCUAGGGCCUUGGCAUUACAAUUCCAUGAUCUUGCGCAUUCCCGUGGAGCUCCUUUUUAGUGGACGCUACUUGAUUAUGGGGGGAAUGAGACUCUACCCUAAUCAAUAGAACUAAAGAGAAAGAACAAGGGUCAAAGAAUGAUCAAGGGCUACUUCCUAUGCGACUUCUACUUCUCCUAGUUGCGCAAGAUCUCUUGAUGGUUGUCUAGGCUGACCUACUUCUUCUUUUCAUGCUCCAACGACUUUUUCUUAUGGGUUUGACUCUCAUGAAUGUACCAAUUGGACUAUAAUCCCCGGUUUCCAUCCAAUGUGAGAGGUCAAAUCUCCAAAAUGAAUUAUGAAAGUUUGCAACCCAUUCGUUAGGACCCAUAUAGAGUUAAAGAAAAGUCAAGCUCCAUAAGAGUUGAAAUUGAGUCGAGCUAAAUAAAGUGAGAGAAGAGAAUGGCAGACUAGGUAGCUCUCCCUGUGAAUGGAAGAAGUUUUCAUGGAAUUCAUGACCCGACCUAUCUUUGCUACAUUCUUAUAUGAGUCCGACUAUCCUAACUCCCAUUCUUAGGCUUUUUUUCAUAUUAAGCUGCAUAGAACGACUGGACUUAAAGGAGAGGCGAAGGAGGAGUUGACAAAGAAUAUCGAGAAGUAAAGGAGUGAAUUGCAAUUCCAGGAAAAAGAGAGAGAAGAAAGAAAUAAGUCAAGAAGGAAAGACCUCAUACAAUAUUCUUUGCACCUCGUACCUCCCGCCUCAAUGAAUAAGGGGGGAAGGAUCAAUUGCGACGGACAAUACACACUUGAUUUUAGUUCGAAUGAACUUUGAUCAUUCUUUAAGCCUCUAAUACUUGCUUUAGAGAUAUUGAAACUUAUGCUACAAUAUGGGUUGCCUCCACCUGAUCGAGUUACCACCUCCUCGUCCACUUUCUGAUGUAAGAUUGAGAAUAGAGAAUGAUCAUAAACGAGAUUAUGAAUCUCAUGAAUUCACUAAGCUUUCCUACUUUCUCUACCACUUCUUCAACGAGAACAACCGCCUCAAUGAACAAGGGUGAGACGGCCUCUUGUCUUUCCUUUCGCCCAUGCCUACCUAGCUCUCCCAAGUAUUCGGUAUUCAAUGCUCUUAUCCAAUGAAAAGUCAUGAAUCGACAUGGAGGAGCGGAAGGUAUGAGACGGGUGAACUACCCACUCAAAGGAUCAGUUAUUUGCUAGGGUACGCGUAAAUCAUCGUCAGAUGUUUCCGUCUUAAUAAAGGGGCUUUCUUUCCUUAUUCAAUAACUCAAUUCAGAACUCAAAUUGGAAGCAAUCGACGACUAGAGAUUGAAAGGAGAAGUUUCCUAGUAGGGUCAAUCGAUCAGCUUUCACUUUCAAUAGGAGGAUGCAGCUCCCUAGCAAUCACAAGUAAGAGGGACUGAUCGAGCCACUGCCUCUGAAUUCAAAGCCUGUCAUGUCCCCACCCCAAACUAACACAGAUGAACAAGUAAAGUAGACAAACUCAUUAAAGUAGACAAUGACUCUGCCUUUAAAGAAGAAAGAAUGGAAAGUCUGAAAGAAGAGUACUUUUAUCGUAAACACUGGGGUGCAUCCUCAAUGGAGCAUUCCUUUCUCUAGAGCUAGAAAGGAAAUGGGAGAUCUCGAAGUGCGGCUUGUCUUCGACCAGUGAUUGAGUGAUUUAUAGACGAUGCCUUUCCCGUGUAGUGGGCCUUAUGAGAGAUCCAAUUCGGGUCUUGGGGAGGUUUGGGAGUUUCUUUCUUCUGCCACUAACUUCCACCUUGUCUGGUCAUCCUACUCCUGCAUUCAUUCGUAUAUAGAAAAUAUGUCGCUUUUAAGCUAAGCAAGGACACCAAAUAGAAUUCUCUUUCCCCUCCUAUUGGGUUGAAGUAGAAAAGUUUGAUUCAUGAACUAGUCCAUCUCGAACUCGACUCAUAGGUUGCUGAUUAGGUCAUUUCGCUCUGCGUAGAAGGAGGCUUAAUGAAUAUGAGUUCCCAAAGGCUAAUUAAUUCAAUGAAAAUACAUAAGAAAGAGUACAGAUGUCCCACCAAUUCAAUCCUUUGAACUUCAAAACCGAAGAGAAAGGACUCGCCCGCUCCGUUGCCUCCUUAAUUAGGGACAUAAGCUAGGGCUUGAUCUAAAUCAUCUGUCGAAAGAGCAUCUUUUGGUUCUAGGAUCUUCGCCUUCGUUGAUUGGCUUCUAACCUUUGAGCGAGGAGAGUGAUUUCAUUAGUAAACUGGAAAGAUUUGUAGAACGCACAAUUUCAAAUGAAAGAUCUGGGAGAUGCACAAUACAUUCUCAGAAUCCAAAUUGUUCGAAACCGAAAGAACAAAACACUAGUCAUGUCUCAAGCAUCUUAUAUAGACAAAAUGUUGUCUAGGUAUAAAAUGCAGAAUUCCAAAAAGGGUCUGUUGUCGUACAGAUAUGGAGUUCAUUUGUCAAAGGAACAAUGUCCUAAGAUACCUCAGGAAGUUGAGGAUAUUAGAAAUAUACCCUAUGUUUUCGCUGUUGGAAGUUUGAUGUAUGCAAUGUUAUGUACUAGACCUCACAUUUGCUACUCAGUAGGGUGGUCAGUAGGUAUCAAUCCAAUCCUGGAUGUGAUCACUGGACAACCGUUAAGAACAUUCUAAAAUAUCUUCAAAGAACAAAAGACUACAUGCUCGUGUAUGGUACAAAGGAUUUGAUCCUUAUUGGAUACAAUGAUUCUGAUUUCCAAACUGAUAAACAUGCUAAAAAGUCUACAUCAGGAUCAAUAUUCACUCUAAAUGGAGGAGCAGUGGUUUGAAGAAGCAUAAAGCAAACUCGUAUAGUUGAUUCCACAAUGGAAGCUGAAUACGUAGCAGCUUGUGAAGCAGCAAAAGAAGCAGUAUGGCUAAGAAAAUUCUUGACAGAUCCGAAAGUCAUUCCAAAUAUGCAUCUACCAAUCACUUUAUACUAUGAUAAUAGUGGUGCAGUUGCAAAUUCAAGAGAACCUAGAAGCCAUAAAAGGGGAAAGCAUAUUGAACGCAAGUAUCAUCUUAUCAGGGAAAUUGUACAUCGUGGUGACGUUGUAGUAACUCAUAUUUCUUCUGAGCAAAACAUUGUUGAUUCUUUUACAAAAGCCCUCACGGCUAAAGUGUUUGAGGGUCACCUACACAGUUUAGGUCUACGAUGUUUGUAAACUAUGACAAGUGGGAGACUUAUUGGGCAUGUGCCCUAGUUGUAUAUAUGUUUAUUCUAUCUUGGUUAAAUUCAACAUUGUUUUAUCCCACUAGGAGUUUUAGUCCAAGUGGGAGUUUGUUGGAAUUUUUGUCCUAAAACUCGUAGUUUGUAAUUAUAUUAUGUUCAAUAAAGUUGUUAUUGAGAAAUUAAAUAUUAUAAUCUUAAAUCCAAUAAACUAAGUCUCGAGGCUAUUUUUUAGUAAACUUGAACUUUAUGUGUAGACAUAAACGUGGAUCAAGUUCGAGUAUAUAGCCUAAAUAGUCUAUAGUAUAUGAAUAAUGGAUGAGCGCCUUAUUUAGAGAUACUAUGGAUGCGGCCCACUUUGUAGUAAGUACAAACGAGGUGAUCCUGAAUCGUUCAUGUAGAGAUAUGAAAGUGGAGGCAUCCUAUGUAAAGUGUUUACACAAGGCUGAACCAUGAAUUAGUCACUUUUACGUUAUAACACCGUUUACUGUUUAAAACUGACUAUCUCGAUUAUUGAUGACCUAGGUAACUUAAUCUUAAUCCUGAACUAACUAUGAACUCCUGUUCACACGAGAUUAUCCUUAAAUCUGCAUAGGUGAGGGUAGCUCAUCAGCGUUGGCCCAAUAAGUCUCCCAUUUCAAGGGUAAGAUCGGGUGGAUAGCUCGGGACAUAGGAUGCAUUACGAAAUUCACUCUUAUCCGCUUUAAGGUUAGUAGAUAGGUUGUUCUCUUAAGCACUAAAUCCAAGUCUUGAAUAAGGGGCCCCUCCCUCUCAUUGGCCCAAGAGAGAUUAAGGUUAUAGGUUGGACCUUAAACCAAUUGUUCAAUAAUGAAUUAGUGGGACAUAAGGAGCAAAAUGUAAUCUUGGGGGUAAAACGGUAUUUUGACCUAGCCAAGGUUACGAACAACCUAUGAAGGAUUAACUUACUGAUUAUUAUUUUAUCAAAUGGAUACAAAUAUAUCUAUAGUGAGGGGAGUGCAACUACGAGAUUUUAGUGGAAUGACCCGUUAGUUAACGAAUGUUGAUUAACUCGAUCUAAAAGAGUUUUGCUAGUUAAUAUUUGAAUUAUUGAAGCCCAUGAUCUAAUUGUCCAUUAGGUCCCUCUGCUAGCUCCUAUGGAAUAAACAGUGUGAUAGAAUAAGUCGAAUUGUUCGAAUUGGGAGAAGAAAGAGAAACCGACAAAUAUAGUGAUAUAAUCAUCGAUCUUCUGAUUAGAAAUAGAGCUUUAUGUCUAAAUAAUAUUGUAAUACUAUAAGUAUGAAUACAAAUUCAUACUAAGAAGCUUGGAAUUGAUGGAAAUGGUCAAAGUUGUAAAAAAUCAAAAUGUUGACUUUUGACUUUAGAAAGCCAAACUUUGACCGACCUUAUAUUCAUGUGAUUUGAAUUUUAGAAAAAUGAAUGCAGAUUCAUGCUCGGGAGGUCGGAAUUAAUCAAGAUGGACAAAAUGGUAAAAAGUCAAAAUAUUGACUUUUGACUUGAAAGGUCAAUUGACCAUUUUACCCUUGAACUAAGUUAGUGGAAAAAUCUAACAUUUUGUUGGAUAAUCCCACUAACUCUUAGUGGAAUAUGUGGCUACAUGAGAUGUAGACACCUAGCCCACUAAGUUCCACUAAUUGUUAGUGGAAUAUUAGGUAUUGAGAUUUGGCAAAUUAAUUACUUGCAUUUUUGCAUCUAAUUAGGUUAUAAAUAGGGGUGUUUUCAAAUUGUUGAAAUUUUUUUGGCAUUUUUCUAGUAAUUAGAAAUUACUAUUUUUUCAUACUCCAAUAUCUCAACCAAAAAUUUCUACCUUCCAAUUUCAUUUUAUCUCCUUUAUUUUCUACACCAAAUUGGGUCCCACAACCCGGUUCUUUGUCUAGAGGGAUAGUAGGUGACUACUAGCGGUGGUCUCGGUUUGAAUUGGUAAGGAGAUCUCGAAGAUUUUCGAAAGCUUCAAAGGAAAUAUUUCCUAAAACCCUAAUUUGAUUAGUUUAGGGUUACAUGUUAAUUAGAGGCAAUUAGGGUAGAAUUUCGAUUCUAUUUUCGCUGUGCAUGUCUUAGUUCUAUCAGUUCAUUGAUUGUGUACUAAUCAAAAGAGCUUGAACUCCGAAAAUCUACUCUAACCUAUCUUUAGAUAUUAUGUCACUCAAAGCGAUCAUGCAAGAUGGGUUUCAGAAAUGGUGACUCAAUGGACUCCUUCUCUGUCUUUUCCCUAUAUGGUUCCCUCAUAAGUAAAGUAAAGUCAUCUUAGCCUCAAUGAACAAGGACUCGAGCCGCCGUUUCCAUAACAGAAGUCGCUAUUGAAACCAUCAGAUAGUUCAUUAUAGCAUUUAAGAAAGAAACUCGGUUUGAAAUCUAAGAUUGACAACUAUUUUUUCCAUUAAUCAGUCCUUCGUUUUUUUAGUUCUCUCAUCAUCAAAUUUCAUUGAUCUAUCGCUCUAUAUGAGCCUAAUGGAGCGGUUUUGCAAUAUACUUUUUGCCUAUGGACCAUCCGAAACACUAAUCUUUCUUCCUUUGCUAUGCCCAUAUGAACUAAUAGAUUUUUCGCAUUUCCCGGCCGAUCAUUACAAUGCGAGUCAAAGGGGUUAAAAGUCGCGCGCUCAAUAGAGACCCUUUAUGGGGGAUUCCAGUUCGACAACAAGUGAAAAGAAAGUAGCAGCAGGUUGAUCGCUAACAUAUGAGCCUUUUCGCUUGGGUGCUUUCUUCAUCCAUCGUACAAAAGUACUUGAAUCCAUAGAAUGUGAAAACUCUAAAUUAUCCGAAAAGGAAGAACGAAAGCAGAAUCUCCAUCCCAUUGACAAAGACAAACGAUUGUGAACACUUUAAGAUUGAACAUGGAACAAAAUAAAACCACUGACAAUGAAGAUCAAAGAGAACACAUGGAAUGAUCGUUUCAAUCAAAACAAUAUGAUAUCCGGGAAAAUAACUAAUCAUCGGCACGCGAAUAGAAGGAAGAAAUAUUACCUCGACCCUACCUUGCUCGAAACCACCAAAGGGAAAAAUAUUACCUCGACCCUACCUUGCUCGAAACCACCAAAGGGAAAAAUGUAAGGUUUAGAAAAUCGGUGUGGAUCAAAAUACCGUGAAGAAGAUGAUGUUGAACGAUGGAGAAAAACCAGUGAGUGCCAAAGAGGGUAAAAAUACUGUAAGAUCUAGGGAAGUAGGUUGAGAGAUAGAUCAAUUUUGGGGAAUAGAUUUCGGCAAAAUAGAGAGAGGAAAAGUGUGUAGAAGAAGAGAGAACCAUUGGUCGAGCGGAUGUAGAAGGAAUAAGGAUGAUUAAAUUUAGUCAUUUCCGUGAGUCAAUUUCUUUGGAAUAACAAGAGAUAUAUCAACGUUUUUAAGGGUCAUUUUGAAAAAUGGCAAAACUACUUUUUCUUUUAAAUUUUAGCAAAUAACAUUUUUUGCACGUGCAUUAUAUUUUAUAAAAUACCAAAAUAUCUCCUUCUCCAACUAUAAUUAUUUCGUUUCUACAUUGUACUUAAUUUAGGUUAUUCAUUUAUCUGCUUUUAAUUAUUUUUUACCUCGAAAAGAUACAGCAACCCAUAUCAUAACUUUUUUUUCUUAAUAUCUCGGGACUCAACUAAUUGAUUCAACAUUUUAAUAACUUUAUUCAAUCUUACUAAUUUCAAAAUAACCAAAUUGACUUUGAAUUUCAAAAUAACCCAAUUAAAUUUCAAAAUAACAAAAUUAUUAUUUUUCAGAAUUUGAGAAUCUGAACGAUAGAUUUUGUAUCAAAAUAACAUUAAUUAAAUUUCAAAAUUAAAAAAAUAUCACUUUGUUUGCUAUCUUAUCUCAAAAUAACAUUAAUGGCUUGAAUACCAAAAUAACUCAAUUAUUAUUUUGAAAUGGGGAGAAUCUCAACCUUAAUUUUAUUUUAAAAUAAAUUUCAAAAUAACCAAUUUAUUAAUUUUUGAAUUGGAGAAUCUCAACUAUUGAUUUUAAAACGCAAUUUCAAAAUAACCCAAUUAUUAUUUUGAAUUUAGAAGAAUUUCAACCAUUGAUUUUAUUUCAAAACAACGUUUUAAUACCAAAAUAACAUUGAGCUCAACCACCAAAAUAACCAAUUUAUUAUUUUGAAUUAAAAUUUUAUUGUCAUUUUUUUCAAGUGAGAACUUGCUUAUUUGUUUGUUUUCCAAUGUUUCUUAUUCUUAUUAAAUUAUAAUUAACUUAUUCUAAAAAUAUAGCAUAUUAUAUAUAUAUAAAAACAAUUAGUUUAAUUGUGUUUAGGAAGAUUUUUAAACCAUGUUCAUUUGACUUAAUAACAUUACUUAAAUUAUAAUUUCUAUCGAUAUUAGUUUAAAAGUGUAAUUAUUUCAAUAUACUGCGGUCUUAUCAAAAGUCUUUUAUGUGUAAUUAAUUUGCAAUAGACAGUUCUGAGUUUAUCAAAGUUUUUCAUUAUAAUUAAUUUAUGAUAUGCAAUUAUGAGUAUGCGUGUUAAUAAGGUAGAGAAUCAUAUCCUAACCUCUUCCUAAUAUCUCGGGAUUAAAAAAAUAUCAAUAACUUUAUUCAUUUUUUUAUUUCACCACUAUUAAAGUUCUUAACAACUUUAUUCAUUUUUUUAUUUCAAAAUAAUCAUAUUAUUAAUUUUUAUUGGCUAAAUCUUAAUCUUUUCGUCAAUCUUUAAUAAAUUGUAAAUUAAAAUUAGUUUUCUAAUUAGAUCUUAAUUUACUUUUAAAUUUUGAAUUUGAAAAUUAAAAUUAGUUUUUGUACGAAGAUCUCAAUUUUUUUUUAUUAUUUGGAAAUUAAACCUCACCCUUUUUUUGUUUCAAAAUAAGUUGAAUCUUUUGAUCCUUAAUAAUUUAAAAAUUAAAAUUAGUUUUCAUAUUAGAUCCUAAUUUAUUUUUCCAAUAAAAUAGCAUAAGAUAUUGUGUUUUUGUAUAAAAUCUCCCAAAUUUUAUUAAAUAAUUAAUAUAAAUAUAUAUAUAUAUUUAAAAAUCAGCAAAAAAAUUUAUAAGAGACGAGGAAGAUAACUUUUGUAUCUUUUUAAUAUUAUGAAAAUUUUAAUAUGAAUUAUUAAAAACACAAAAAAAAUAUCUUGUUUUGUUGUUUAUGUCUCAAUCUACAAAAUUUAGGAGUAUUAAUAUUAGAAUAAAAUUUAUAAUCUACCUAAAUUUUGUCAAGUAAAAUCUUUAAUUAAAACAAAUAUGAAGUUAAAAUAUUUUUAUAAGGGAUUGAGCUAAGAAAGCAGUACUCUUUGACGUAGUCUAGCUAUUAAGAGGGAAAGCAAAGUUCUCUUAGUUUUUCUUAUUUAUUCGCGUUCUUCUCAAUAAAUAACAAAUCAAUUCUAUCUUUUUUCUUUUUAACCGUCGAGAACUUCUCAAAGAUUAACCUUUUAAAAUAUUUAAAAAAUACAUUGAAUUUAUAUUUUGUUUAAUUAUAGAUUUUAUUUGGAAAAUUGUGAAAGAUAAUGUUUGUUUAUAAUAUAUUUAUAAAAAUAUUGAACUUUUAAAAAUAUUUAUAAAAAUAUAUUGAAUUUAUAUUUUGUUUUAAUUAUAGAUUCUAUUUAGAUAGAUAUUAUUAGUUUAGAAAAUAUUUAUCAAAAUUUUGAAUUUUUGAAAAUAUUUAUAAAAAUAUAUUGAAUUUAUAUUUGUUUUAAUUAAAGAUUUUACUUGACAAAAUUUAGGUAGAUUAUAAAUUUUAUUCUAAUAUUAAUACUCCUAAAUUUUGUAGAUUGAGACAUAAACAACAAAACAAGAUAUUCUUUUUUGUGUUUUUAAUAAUUCAUAUUAAAAAUUUUUGGAGUGAAGGUUUUUGUUUUUCCACUCCAAGCGUUUGAGAUUGUAGGUUGUAGACUUGAAAAUCAAAGAUAGAAGAUGAAAAAUGAGAUAAUAUUUGCAUGCUUCAAAUGUUUAUAUUAUUUUUUUUGAAAAUGCAUGAUGAAGUUUCUUUUUUAAAAUGCAUGAUGGAGUUGAAGAUAAACCUCAAACUUCAAACGAAAGAGGGUAGAGAUUGGAGGUUGCCGCUUCAAGGUGGAAAGAUUAGGCUUUGUCCACUCGAGAAAGAUGAGAUCAAAAAUGAAAAAUGGAUAUGAAGGAAGAGAAAAUGGAAGAUGAGAAACGAAAAAUAAAAAAAAAAUGUAUUUAUUAUAUUUUAGGGUAGUUUACACUUUAUCUACUUAAUGGUAUUUUGGGUUUUUGCAAAUUCUUAUUUAUUGUUUUUCUUUUUUUCAUUUGGUCAUUUUUUAACUUUAAAAUUGCUAUUAUUAUUUAAAAGUAUGUUUUUGGAAAUUUUUUUAGACACCAACGCGAAGCACUGGAUAGGCUCAACUUCCUUUCACAAAACCCUUCAGCCAUUCACACUCUCAAUCUUUCAUCCCUCCAAUUUCUCACAAAAUCCUCUCUCGCCGACUUCCAUCGACACAGAAAGUAAUCGAAGCAACUCUCCAACUUCUGAAGCCCAAACCAUUUGCUGGAGCUAAUGUGUUCGUCUCUCGUAAUCUUGUCGCUUCGGAGAUGUUCGAUCCUUUUCACGACGCUCUCAAGCAGAAUGGGGCUGAGGUUUUCCUCUGUUGCGAUCCCUCUCAAAACGCCCCUAACGACUAUCAUGUUAUCUCCUCCGCCGAUCACGUACCAAACGUCUCAUCCAUUUCUUGUUCAAUUUAUAUGGCUACUUCGGAUUGGCGAUGUGUUUAUUGGUUGUUGAUUCCUGCUUUCAGGCAAAGUUCGAGGAUCUUCGCGCCAAGGGAUGCAACUUGUUAGGUAUAGUUAAUUUGUAGUUCCAGCCUUUUCUUUCUUUCUUUUGCGGAAUAGAAUUGGAGAGAAAUUUUCGACUGGAGAACGAGAUUAACAGGAAAUUGAAUGUCUCCGUUAAUUUGUCAAAUGUAUAGUUACCGCAUUGCAGUUAAUAUUUGUCAGUGCAUGCUGCAUGUACGCAGUAGCCGAGUAAUAUAUACUUCACUGCUCUCUCUUUCCGAAUAGCCAAACAGAGUUGUUUGAAAUUCUCAUUUCAGUCCGACGCCUGGGAUUUGGUGCGUCGCUGACAACUUGAAUUUCUGUUGGGAAGGUCCUCAGUGCGUGAUGUCAUGUGCAAAAAGAGCACAGACCUCUUCCUCAACAGGGUUAUACUUGCUGCCUUGCCAUGGAUGGUGUGAAAAUCUUGGCAUCCGGUUUUCAGGAAGAUGAAAAGGUACGUUGCAAAUGUUCCUAGUCCACCCAUCUUUUUUCUUAUUAGUAAUUAGUAAUUUUAUUUUUGUAGAACUAAUGACACAAAAUUGCAUUGCAGGUUGAGAUAGGGAAGUUAGUUAGUGCAAUGGGGGAGUAUUGCAUACGAAAGCAUCACUAGAUGUCAGUUUUGUUAUCGCGAAGAAUGCUUUGGCUGCGAAAUACAAGGUCGUGUUGCUUGAACUUUCGAUUUUCUUGACGUGAUAUGUAUGUGUAUGUAGACCAUUUCAUGAAUAUCACGUGAAUCAUAAGAUUUGAGUCAAUUAAACUCCACAAAAUUCAUUUUUCAAUCAAUUUAGACCUUUAAUCACGGUUACCUUUAAAUUGAUCUAAUUGAUAUAACUAUAAGUUUCACACAAAUUUUUCAAAAUGAAUGUAAUAGAGGGCGUAAAUUGAUACACUAACAAAAGCCAGGUUUAAAUUGAUACAAUCUCUACAGUUUGGGUGUAAAUUGAUAUUCUCCCUUAAUUUAAUUGUUAAAUGCGUAAUAGACUUAAUAAUGGUUUUUAGUUUUAUUCUACCUGAAAUUUACUGCAAAGGUUUUGACAGAUACUUCAUAUUAUUUUCUCUGUUUUCAGUGGGCACUAAACAUUUCAAAGAAACCAAUCGUGUCAUUUUCUUGGUUACAACAAUGCUGGAUUGAACAUCGUGUUGUGCCUCAGGAGGGAUAUCGGGUCCUUCCAUUUUCUGGACUGAAUAUUUCGGUAUCUGGAAUUCCUGCAGGUUGUGUUUUAUAAUAUUUUAUUUCUUCUCAAAGAAAAUUGUUUUCUUGUAUUUCUUCUUAUUUAUGGUCCUCUUGGGGACAUCCGAUAAAAUUGUGUUAGUUCCAUCAUUUCUGGGUCUCAGGUGAGUGCAAGGAGAUGGCAAAGCUUAUCUUGCAAAAUGGUGGAAGAUAUUCUGCCGAUCUCACAAGAAAGUGUACACAUUUGAUAUGUGAUAUAUCCUUUUUGCAUUUUUUUUCUUGGCGUUACUUUUGAUCUUUUCGCUUCUUGUUUGAAGCACUCAAAUUUAUGUGCUGGAAAAACAUCUUACUGCAGCUUAAGUUACAGAAUAAAUGGAUAGGGAUAAUAAAUACUAUAAAAAUUAACUUUGAACAAUAUGUCUUGGGAUCUUUCAUAAGGGCCUCUAUUUCUUUUCAAGUGCUAUUAUUGGCAGUAUUUGACCGUAAUAGUUGCAACUGCUUUAGUUUGUUUCAUUGUAUUUUGAGCAUUAGUCUCUUUAAAUUUUACCAAGGAAAAGUCUUGUAUCUUAUUUAUUUGAAAUUGGAUCAACACUGAUUAUAUGAUUAUUAACUCAAUCAUUCAUUAUUCCUUCUCUUCCGGUAGUAAUGACCCUUCCCAUUGUCAGGCGAUUCACUUAUGAUGAUAACUAUUCUUUUAAUGAUCUUUAAUGGCUGUAUUUUCUUUUCCAUAUCUCUUAGAACAAUCCUAAAAGGAUGUGAGAUUGACACGAAUGAGGUACGGCCUCAUCCAAGAACAAAAUUGAUCACUUUUUGUCCCUUGACAAUCUCUCUAGUUUCUAGUUGAGGUUAAGUGAUGGGAAUGACUAACCACACUCACAAACGUUUAUUUGUAUGGCCAUUGCAAGCAUGCUGCUUGCAUAGACAAUCCAUUUCUAAAUAGUUGCAUAGAAUGUUUACUUAUUGGUAUUAAAUAUUCUUGUUUGAAUAAGAGGUUUUCUUUAAUGGUUAAGUAAGCUUCUGAAGGUGACAAGUACAAGGUUGCACGAACGUGGGGCCGUAUCAAUAUUGUUACUCGGAAAUGGUUUGAUCAGUCCAUAGCCAGAAAAGGUAGUAGUUCGGGUUGUAUAUUUGAAAACCGAUAUGAUAUUUGAAUUGUUGGCAGUUAUUUGUCAAAUAAUUUUAUUAGUUUCUAACUUGUUUCAAAUCCUUUUAUUCUAUUUUUUAAUUGAUAGGAUGUUUUAAUGAGGAGCUGUACCCUGUUGGUAGCGUUUCUGGAACUUCAAAUAAAUUGACAAGGGGUUGCUUGACUGCUCACAAUAGCCAAGAAAAGGAUAUUGGGAACUUGGAAGCUGUACCGUCCUCAUUUCUUACCGAUUCAAAAUUCACAGCAGUUGCUGGUCCUGGGUUUUCAGACAUGGAUGUUAAGUUACUCUUUCACAGAGCACGUCUAUGUUUUCAGAUGCUUCUAAUUUUAUAAAUGAGGUUGAUGUUGAAGUGCCAGUCACGAUGGGAAGGAAUGAAGAAAACACUGUUAAUUGUCUUGCAAAUGACUUUUAGUCUGAAGAAAACGACCUAUAUUUGUCAGCAUGUAGAAUAAAAGUUGUUGGGUUUGAAGCUUCUGAGAUGCGGAAGAUUGUAAAUAUGAUUCUCAGAGGUGGAGGCUCCCGAUACAUGGUUUUCAAUGACAAAUUAACACACAUAAUAGUUGGAGAUUCGUCAGAAAUGUAAUUAUCCUUUUACUUUAAUCGCAACAUAGGUUUUGUGAACUUUAUUGCUUGAAUUUGUGAGCUCGCCUGUGCUGUGAGCUUUUUGAUUUCAUUUGAAUGGUCUAUCCACCCAAUUGAAAAUUAGUUUUAUCAUAUUUCAAAUGGCAGGGAGAAAAAGGAGGUUAGAGAUAUUGCUACUUCAGGAGUUGUUCAUGUGGUUAGAUCCAACUGGCUUGAAGAGUGUGACCGUCAGAAGAAGGAGAUCCCUAUUCUUGGUAGACACAUGGCAUAUGAUGAACUUAUUCCUAAAGGUUUGAUAUGCAGGACUCGUAUUCUAAGCUAUCUGUCUUUUGAAUAGCAACCUUAAACUACCAUCAUGCAGAAUAACUGCACAUUUCAUUUGGAUGCAUGACUAAUAUUUGUUUGGAGAUCCCUAGCCUGUUUGUCUUGUUCUAAAUUUUCUGGCUGUUUACUUUGCAGCAUCUAGUAAAAUGAGCACCAUUGUUAUGGAUCAAAAUAAAGUUCCAAAUGUUCAUCCAAUCGUGCCAUCAAAUGUGUCAGAAGGAAAUAUUCAUGUUAGCAUUGGAAAGACGUCAAUAGCAGUGGAAAGAAUUGAAGAAAAAAGUGAAACAAAAGUGAAUGGAGACAGGAAAAUGAAAUUAUCCCAGAAAAGCCAACAAUGUGUAGCAAAUGGUACAAACAAGAGUUGAGAAAAGAUGGGGCGUGAUUUCAUGGUUUCAAAUGGGAAGUCAUCAUGUGUAUUUAAGGGGAAAAUAUUUUGUUUUUCUAGUUCCUUUCCAGAAGAUCGGGUAUGUUGUAAAGAUUCUUUCCUCUUAUUUCAAACAGCAUGAUUAAUGUACACUAUGCACUUUAGGUUUUAGAUGUAUUAUUGUGGUAAAUAGCAUCCAUUUUUUAAAAAAAUAACAAAGUAGAAGCCCUGUAUUCAAUAUCAAUUGACUUGAGUAAAGAGUAGUUCAUUACUGCUCCAACUCCAUGAUUUUAAAAGCAAGUCAAUGGUGCAGAUAGGAUUCUAGAUCUACUGUUUCUUUAACACUCCGAUCCUGUUAAGAGAAUGAUAUAAAAAAAAUGGAAAAAUUACCUUUUUAGUCCCCAAUUUUAUAGAAAUAGGUUUAUUGGUCCUUGAGUUUUCAAAAUGUACUCUUUUAAUCCUUGAGUGCUUAAUGUUAUACUGGAGACUCUCAAAACCAAUUUUUAGAAGAAGUUAUUCUACCUUAAAAAUGUAUAAAGUUAUAUUGGGGACUUUCUAAACCAAUUUUUAUAAACUUAGAGACUAAAAAGGUGCAUGACCAAAUGGGUCUAUUUUUCUAAACCUGGAGACUAAAAAUGUACAUUUUUAAAACUCAAGAACCAAACACACGUGUUCUUCAAAACUUGGGGAGUAAUUUUCCUAAAAAAUUUAAGAUAGUGCCAAAUGUCAUUUAGCAUGUGAAAUAAUUACGAUUUUCAUUUUUCAUUUGAGGAAUAUGCCUUCAAAUUUUUUUUACAUUUUAUUUUUGAACACUAACAAACAUGCAUCAACUUUUGACUUCCAUAAUCCCAAAUAUUUUUUAUGUAUAUUUUGAGAUCAUAUUUGAAAUUCUCCUACUAGAGAGCUGAAAUUGUUGAAUGGAUAAAUCAAGGGGGAGGCGAGGUUGUUGAAGAUCACAUGAAGCAGAAAGUGCACUUCACUGUUGAAUGUCAUGGUGGGAUACCAAGGAGUACAGACGUUCAUAGUACUUAUGUGUCAAGUCAUCGGGUUCGAUCAUGUUUAGAGGUAAGCGAUAAUUAAUUGUCUUAUUUGUGAUUUCCGUUUUAGAGCUCUACUAUUUUUUGUUUGUGUUUCCCUUUUUGGACAUAAAAGUCCACACAAGGUUGAAUAGCAUAUUUUGUUUCAUUUAGCCACUGCAAGUUUGGAUUGUGUUUGGGUUGGAGCUUUGAAUUUUGAGGGACUUUAGUUUUGUGUUGAGCCACGCUCUUAUAAUAUGAAGGAUGGAUACUGUUUUUUCCAAAACCAAACGCACAUCAGUUUUCUAAGAUUACAACAACUGUCCUCCCAGUGUAAAAAAAGGUAUCCUCAAACCAACCAAAAGAAGGGGAAUAUGUGAGCAAGAUUUAUAGUUAAUAAAUCAUCAAAAGUAAAUUAGAGUUGGACUCGAGAACUCUUGCUGAUGUAUAGGAAAAGCAGACAAGGUAUGGGAAUAUAAAUUAAAACAGCCUUUAGAUGAAAAGGGCUGCUACAACUGAUCCUACCUCAAAUGGCGGUACCAAAAUAUAGGACUUGAACCUCAGUCUUCUCCCUCGCCCGUUGUUCUUGGCAAUGUUAAAGUAUCUCAAUUCGUACACAUUCAUCUCCUUGUUUGAAGCAAUAACUCAAAGCCAAUCUCUAAUGUUGUGUUUCUUGAAAUUCUUCUUAGCCAAGUAUUUAAGAUUCCUCUUGGAGAAGUAGCUAUUGGAGUUGAUGUUGAUCUUGUUCUUGUCCUGAGUGAUAGUGACUGAGUCAUCAAGUGUCUCUGCCACCCCAGCUUUGUUGGUCUGAUGAGGUGAUGGCCGUGAUCUUGUCCUCAACUGGCAUCACACAAUCAAAUGGUCACAUCCUUAUUUUUUCCCUUCGGGCCCCAGAUGCGGCUGGUCCAUGUAGAAAAUAUGUUUCAACCUGACAAUAGGAACUGUUCUAGUUCAAAUUGUUUUUAAUAAUAUGAAAAAGUGUGUAAAAAAUGUAAAAUACUAAAUUGAUUUGAAAUGACUCUCGAACCGAUGUAUUGGGAGGCGUUUGGUCAGAAAACCGUAAAGAAAUGCUUAGAUGUCUCAAACUGAUGCAAAUAUGAGCGUGUGUGAAAACGUUACUGAUAUUGCUGUUAAAUAUAAUAAACCAAAUGAGAGCGAAAUUUGCUCUGCUACUUGUUUCUCUAACUCUGCAUCUGUAUAGAACAAUUGCAUAAAUGGUGGAUACUAUUAAAUUGGAAAAUGGAGAUUCAAUCAGUUCUAUCAUUUUGACCUUUUGAUGUUUAGGGGAAGGUGGUAACAUAAAUUUACCUUCUCAGACUAUCCAUUAAGGUUGGUCUGAAAAGAAAAGGGUGGUCUAUCUUGGAAAACAUAUUUGGUUGUUCUCUUUUUUCUUCACUCUGUCUACAUUUUGGAAAUAUGAGUGCUAUCAUUGUGUGAGAGGUUUCUUUAUUGACAAAAUUAAUUGGAGUUCAACAUUUGAAGAAGUCUUUCUAUGACUGUCCCUUGAACUCCAAAGGUUUGCACUCCAUCCCUGUGCCAAACAAAUAGAUGCUUCUUAUAUAUUUUUCUGGUGUAAUUGAGAAAGUAUUGAUGCACACUUCUGUUAAAUGCGUUAAAUUACGGCUUUGAAGCCAAUUUUGAAUGGAUAGCUGGCGUAGAAACUGCCAUUAUUGAUGAAAUUUGAUACUACUGAUGUUUUUUAAUUUUAAUUUUAUAUUAUUAUUAAUUUCGUAACCUAAUUAUGUUCAAUAUCUUAAACUGAUAUUUGAAAUGAGAAUUGAAUAUUUAUCUUGUUUUUAUUUGUUUACUGACUAUUUCAAAUAAAUUCGUUAUGAAGGAUGGAUGUUUGUGGGAUACCAAUGGGCACAUUCUCUAUUCUCCUCUUCCUUGCUGUGUCCCUUUGCCUGGAUUUGAAAACAUACGGUUUUGUGUUUCACAAUAUGAUGAUAAAGACAGAGUAUUGUUAAGAAAUCUGUGUUUUGUACUUGGGGCCAAGUUUGUGGAGAAGCUGACAAAGAAGGUAACCCAUCUAAUAUGCAAGUUCACCGAUGGGACAAAGUAUGAGGCUGCUUGUAAAUGGGGAAACAAUGCAUUACAGCUGAAUGGAUAUAUGAGUGUGUCAGACAGGUACCUUUGCGAUUUUGUUGCUUUUCAAUUAUAUAUGUUCACGUACAUGCAUAUCCUGAUAGAAUUCUAGACCCAUUGUGUUUAUAUUUCUUCUCUUAGAUAUGGAAUGAUUUUGUUUGAAUACAAAACUUUCAGAGAAAGAUUGUCUCUCUUGAUUUGUAUCGCCCAAAAGAAGUUACAGCUCAAGACAGAGCGGCAGGCUUAUGCACUGUCAGCCAAUUUCCUACUCAAGCUGCCCAAUGAUAGCCAAUGAAAGCGUAUCCCAGUUUCCUAUCCAUUCUACCAUUCCGAGAGACCAAUCAGCUGGAACUAACAGUAGCUUUAUAGGAGCAGCUGAACGAAUAAGUUCUACUAAAAAAAAGCGCAAGUUCUUUGACGAAGCC